GAUGAAGAACGCAGCGAAAUGCGAUAAGUAAUGUGAAUUGCAGAAUUCAGUGAAUCAUCGAAUCUUUGAACGCAUCUUGCGCUCCUUGGUAUUCUGAGGAGCAUGCCUGUUUGAGUGUCAUUAAAUUCUCAACUACACUGACUUUGAAUUGGUGUGGCUUGGAUUUGGGGGGAAAAUUGUUGUGGGCUUUUUGUAUAGUCUGCUCCCCUGAAAUUGAUUAGCGGUACCUUUGUGGAACUGUCUACAGGUGUGAUAAUUAUCUACAUCUUAGACAUCUGCUGGAAUGCUGCUUUCUAAACCUUACUUGUAUUUACAAUCUUGACCUCAAAUCAGGUAGGACUACCCGCUGAACUUAAGCAUAUCAAUAAGCGGAGGA
rnacentral:misc_RNA from 1 species